rnacentral:rRNA from 1 species
AGACGGUUUCGGCUGUCACUUACAGAUGGACCCGCGGCGCAUUAGCUAGUUGGUGGGGUAAUGGCUCACCAAGGCGACGAUGCGUAGCCGACCUGAGAGGGUGAUCGGCCACACUGGGACUGAGACACGGCCCAGACUCCUACGGGAGGCAGCAGUAGGGAAUCUUCCGCAAUGGACGAAAGUCUGACGGAGCAACGCCGCGUGAGUGAUGAAGGUUUUCGGAUCGUAAAGCUCUGUUGUUAGGGAAGAACAAGUGCGAGAGUAACUGCUCGCACCUUGACGGUACCUAACCAGAAAGCCACGGCUAACUACGUGCCAGCAGCCGCGGUAAUACGUAGGUGGCAAGCGUUGUCCGGAAUUAUUGGGCGUAAAGGGCUCGCAGGCGGUUUCUUAAGUCUGAUGUGAAAGCCCCCGGCUCAACCGGGGAGGGUCAUUGGAAACUGGGAAACUUGAGUGCAGAAGAGGAGAGUGGAAUUCCACGUGUAGCGGUGAAAUGCGUAGAGAUGUGGAGGAACACCAGUGGCGAAGGCGACUCUCUGGUCUGUAACUGACGCUGAGGAGCGAAAGCGUGGGGAGCGAACAGGAUUAGAUACCCUGGUAGUCCACGCCGUAAACGAUGAGUGCUAAGUGUUAGGGGGUUUCCGCCCCUUAGUGCUGCAGCUAACGCAUUAAGCACUCCGCCUGGGGAGUACGGUCGCAAGACUGAAACUCAAAGGAAUUGACGGGGGCCCGCACAAGCGGUGGAGCAUGUGGUUUAAUUCGAAGCAACGCGAAGAACCUUACCAGGUCUUGACAUCCUCUGACAACCCUAGAGAUAGGGCUUUCCCUUCGGGGACAGAGUGACAGGUGGUGCAUGGUUGUCGUCAGCUCGUGUCGUGAGAUGUUGGGUUAAGUCCCGCAACGAGCGCAACCCUUGAUCUUAGUUGCCAGCAUUCAGUUGGGCACUCUAAGGUGACUGCCGGUGACAAACCGGAGGAAGGUGGGGAUGACGUCAAAUCAUCAUGCCCCUUAUGACCUGGGCUACACACGUGCUACAAUGGACAGA